rnacentral:rRNA from 1 species
CCUACGGGAGGCAGCAGUAGGGAAUCUUCCACAAUGGGCGAAAGCCUGAUGGAGCAACGCCGCGUGGGUGAAGAAGGUCUUCGGAUCGUAAAACCCUGUUGUUAGAGAAGAAAGUGCGUGAGAGUAACUGUUCACGUUUCGACGGUAUCUAACCAGAAAGCCACGGCUAACUACGUGCCAGCAGCCGCGGUAAUACGUAGGUGGCAAGCGUUAUCCGGAUUUAUUGGGCGUAAAGGGAACGCAGGCGGUCUUUUAAGUCUGAUGUGAAAGCCUUCGGCUUAACCGGAGUAGUGCAUUGGAGACUGGGAGACUUGAGUGCAGAAGAGGAGAGUGGAACUCCAUGUGUAGCGGUGAAAUGCGUAGAUAUAUGGAAGAACACCAGUGGCGAAAGCGGCUCUCUGGACUGUAACUGACGCUGAGGUUCGAAAGCGUGGGUAGCAAACAGGAUUAGAUACCCUAGUAGUC